UACGUAGGGUGCGAGCGUUGUCCGGAAUUACUGGGCGUAAAGCGCACGUAGGCGGAUCGAUCAGUCAGGGGUGAAAUCCCAGAGCUCAACUCUGGAACUGCCUUUGAUACUGUCGAUCUGGAGUAUGGAAGAGGUGAGUGGAAUUCCGAGUGUAGAGGUGAAAUUCGUAGAUAUUCGGAGGAACACCAGUGGCGAAGGCGGCUCACUGGUCCAUUACUGACGCUGAGGUGCGAAAGCGUGGGGAGCAAACAGG
rnacentral:rRNA from 1 species